rnacentral:misc_RNA from 1 species
GGAAGUAAAAGCGUAACAAGGUUUCCGUAGGUGAACCUGCGGAAGGAUCAUUAUUGUAUAACCGAGGUGCGAGGGCUGUCGCUGACCCGAAAGGUCGUGCACGCCCGAGUGCCCUCACACACAUCCAUCUCACCCCUAUGUGCACCACCGCGUGGGUCCCCCUUUGGCUUGUUCGGAGGGGGGCUUACGUUUUCACACAAACUUUGUAUGCAGUGUAGAAUGUAUUUUUUGUUUUUGCGAUCACGCAAUCAAUACAACUUUCAACAACGGAUCUCUUGGCCCUC